CCUACGGGUGGCAGCAGUGAGGAAUAUUGGUCAAUGGGCGGGAGCCUGAACCAGCAAAGCCGCGUGAGGGAAGAAGGUCCCGCGUAUCGUAAACCUCUUUUGUCAGGGAACAAAGGCGGGGACUAGUCCCCGGAUGAGGGUACCUGAAGAAACAGCAUCGGCUAACUCCGUGCAAGCAGCCGCGGUAAUCCGGAGGAUGCGAGCGUUAUCCGGAUUUAUUGGGUUUAAGGGGUGAGCAGGCGGGCUGUUAAGUCCACGGUAAAAGCCCGGGGGUCAACCCCGGCGAGCCGUUGAAACUGGCGGGCUGGAGUUGGAGAGAGGUACGCGGAAUGCGCGGUGUAGCGGUGAAAUGCGUAGAUA
rnacentral:rRNA from 1 species